rnacentral:rRNA from 1 species
GGAAGCCCUGGGAAACUGGGGUCUAAUACCGGAUAUGACCCAUGGGGAUGCAUGUUUCUGGUGGAAAGCUUUUGCGGUUGGGGGAUGGGCCCCGCGGGCCUAUCAGCUUGUUGGUGGGUAAUGGGCCUACCAAGGGCGACGACGGGUAGCCGACCUGAGAGGGGUGAUCGGCCCACUGGGACUGAGACACGGCCCCAGACUCCUACGGGGAGGCAGCCAGUGGGGAAAUAUUGCGAAUGGGGCGCGAAGCUCUGAUGCAAGCGACGCCGCGUGAGGGAUGACGGCCCUUUCGGUUGUAAACCCUCUUUUCAGUAGGGGACGAAAGCUUUCGGUGACGGGUACCCUGCAGAGAAAGCCCCCGGCCCAACUACGUGCCCAGCCAGCCGCGGUAAUACGUAGGGGUGCGAGUUGUCCCGGAAAUUACUGGGGCGUAAAGAAGCUCGUAGGCGGUUUGUCGCGUUCGUUCUGAAAAUUCUGCAAACUCAAUUGCAGGCGUGCAGGCGAUACGGGCAGACUUGAGUACUGAGGGGAGACUGGAAUUCCUGGUGUAGCGGUGAAAUGCGCAGAUAUCAGGAGGAACACGUGGCGAAGGCGGGUCUCUGGGUAGUAACUGACGCUGAGGAGCGAAAGCGUGGGUAGCACUAGGAUUAGAUACCCUGGUAGUCCACGCCGUAAACGGUGGGUACUAGGUGUGGGUU